rnacentral:rRNA from 1 species
UACGUAGGGUGCAAGCGUUGUCCGGAAUUAUUGGGCGUAAAGAGCUUGUAGGCGGUUUGUCGCGUCUGCUGUGAAAUUUCGGGGCUCAACCCCGAACUUGCAGUGGGUACGGGCAGACUAGAGUGUGGUAGGGGAGACUGGAAUUCCUGGUGUAGCGGUGAAAUGCGCAGAUAUCAGGAGGAACACCGAUGGCGAAGGCAGGUCUCUGGGCCGAUAACUGACGCUGAGAAGCGAAAGCAUGGGGAGCGAACAGG